GUUGUCCGGAAUUAUUGGGCGUAAAGCGCGCGCAGGCGGUUUCUUAAGUCUGAUGUGAAAGCCCCCGGCUCAACCGAGGGAGGGUCAUUGGAAACUGGGUGAACUUGAGUGCAGAAGAGGAGAAUGGAAUUCCACGUGUAGCGGUGAAAUGCGUAGAGAUGUGGAGGAACACCAGUGGCGAAGGCGACUCUCUGGUCUGUAACUGACGCUGAGGCGCGAAAGCGUGGGGAGCGAACAGGAUUAGAUACCCUGGUAGUCCACGCCGUAAACGAUGAGUGCUAAGUGUUAGAGGGUUUCCGCCCUUUAGUGCUGCAGCAAACGCAUUAAGCACUCCGCCUGGGGAGUACGGUCGCAAGACUGAAACUCAAAGGAAUUGACGGGGGCCCGCACAAGCGGUGGAGCAUGUGGUUUAAUUCGAAGCAACGCGAAGAACCUUACCAGGUCUUGACAUCCUCUGACAACCCUAGAGAUAGGGCUUCCCCUUCGGGGGCAGAGUGACAGGUGGUGCAUGGUUGUCGUCAGCUCGUGUCGUGAGAUGUUGGGUUAAGUCCCGCAACGAGCGCAACCCUUGAUCUUAGUUGCCAGCAUUCAGUUGGGCACUCUAAGGUGACUGCCGGUGACAAACCGGAGGAAGGUGGGGAUGACGUCAAAUCAUCAUGCCCCUUAUGACCUGGGCUACACACGUGCUACAAUGGGCAGAACAAAGGGCAGCGAAGCCGCGAGGCUAAGCCAAUCCCACAAAUCUGUUCUCAGUUCGGAUCGCAGUCUGCAACUCGACUGCGUGAAGCUGGAAUCGCUAGUAAUCGCGGAUCAGCAUGCCGGGGGAAAAACCUUUCCCGGGCCCUUGUACACACCGCCCGUCACACCACGAAGAGUUUGUAACACCCGAAGUCGGUGAGGUAACCUUUUUGGAGCCAGCCGCCGAAGGUGGGACAGAUGAUUGGG
rnacentral:rRNA from 1 species